CCUGGCAGGGGAGCCGGUCAGCUGACCGGAAGCAGGAAGUGUGGAGCGUGGGUCGGGGAGAGUCAGAGAGAGAGAGAGCGAGAGAUGCCAGCCUUGGGAGGUCGCGUGCAGACGGAGAAGGGAGGACUGGUGCUUCUCCCAGCAGCGAUGGACGGAGUGAAGGCAGCCGUGGAUCGGGCCAGAGCCGCUUUCGAUACGGGCAAGACGCGCCCUUUGGAGUUCCGGAUCCGGCAGCUGAAGGCCCUCAGGAGGAUGGUGCAAGAGAAGGAGAAGGCCAUCGCCGCGGCCCUCAAGGCGGAUCUCAACAAGAACAGCCUCAACACCUUCAGCUAUGAGAUUAUGAGCGUGCUGGGAGAGAUCGCCCUGAUGGUGGACAAGCUCCCGGAGUGGGCUGCCCCUCAGCACGUGGAGAAGACCAUCAUGACGCUGACGGACGAGACCUACAUCCACCACGAGCCGCUGGGUGUGGUGCUCAUCAUCGGCGCAUGGAACUACCCCUUCAUCCUCAUCAUGCAGCCCCUGAUCGGGGCCAUUGCAGCAGGGAACGCCGUGGUGGUGAAGCCGUCGGAGGUCAGCGAACAGACCGCCAAACUCUUUGCAGAGCUGCUGCCUCAGUACCUUGACAAGGACCUGUUUCCGGUGGUCAACGGAGGGGUCCCGGAGACGACGGAGCUUCUGAAGCAGCGGUUCGACCACAUCCUCUACACCGGCAACAGCACCGUGGGCAAGAUCGUCAUGGAGGCCGCUGCCAAGCACCUGACGCCCGUCACGCUGGAGCUGGGCGGGAAGAGCCCUUGCUACGUCGACAAGGACUGCGACCUGAACGUGGCCUGCAGGCGGAUCACGUGGGGGAAAUACAUGAACUGCGGCCAGACCUGCAUCGCCCCCGACUACGUCCUGUGCGACCCGUCCAUCCAGAACCAGAUCGUGGAGACCAUGAGGAAGACGCUGAAGGAAUUCUACGGCGAAGACGUCAAGCUGUCCCCAGACUACGAGCGGAUUGUCAACCAACGCCACUUCAAGAGAAUCGUGGGGUUGCUGGAGGGGCAGAAGGUUGCUCACGGAGGGGAAGCCGAUGAAGCCACCUGCUACAUUGCGCCGACGAUCCUCACAGAUGUCAGUCCAGAAUCGAAGAUCAUGCAGGAAGAGAUCUUUGGCCCCGUCCUUCCGAUUGUCGCUGUGAAGGGCGUGGACGAAGCCAUCCGGUUCAUCAAUCAGCGGGAGAAGCCUCUGGCCCUCUACGUCUUUGCCAACGACAACAAGAUCAUCAAGAGGAUGAUUGCUGAGACCUCCAGCGGGGGCGUGACCGCCAACGACGUCCUCAUGCAUUUCACCCUGCCGGGCUUGCCCUUUGGCGGAGUCGGAAAGAGCGGCAUGGGGUCCUACCACGGCCGGCACAGCUUUGAGACCUUCUCCCACCGGCGCUCCUGCCUCAUCCGGGCCCUCAAGAUGGAAGCCGUCAACAAGAUCCGCUACCCACCCAACAGCCAGAAGAAAGUGGACUGGGCCAAGUUCUUCGUCCUGAAGCGGUUCAGCAAGAGCAAGAUCGGGCUCGUGGCCCUCGCGGUCCUGGGCCUCUUGGUGGCUGUGGUGAUCAAGAACCGCCGGGCCAUUCUAGGGGUUAAGACCCUGCUGGCUGUGCUGGCAGCACAGAAAAUGUGGGGGCUCACUAGGACCUGAUGUGAGGUCCGUAUUCAAGGCCUGCAUUUCUCAGGCGAGGUUGCGUUUUUCUGAAUCCAGGGGUCUCACCGGCUGCCCUCAAGGGACCCUGCUAUCCUCAAGGCCUCGCUUGCCAGGGUUGGAGGUGUCGUCACUCGAAGAUGCCCGUAACAUUUUUGCCGUCCCUUGUUAACAACAAAGCACACAAACGUACAAAUGCCGCCCCUUCCGAGGGGCUGCUCCCGCCGUGGUUUUCUUCUGCUGAAAGACCCGUCAUUUUCUCUCUCCUCUCCCCACUCUGAGUCGGCUGGGCCCCUACGGCUGCGUGGCUUCUCUCUUCAUCCGGGCCCCUAUCCUGAGCUGCUUACCUCUUCGGCCACUUGCUUCCAGUUCAUCCGGAUGAUGUAGUUUAUGGUGCACACAGAAGGGAUUAAGCCACAGAGGAUCAUGCCCAGCCAAAGGCCUGAGGGAAGGAGGAGAAGCCUUGUGAAAGAAGGACCCUCUCUGCAGCUUUUUUUUUGGCUUCUAAGCACUAUCAGCGCUGGGUUUUGCAAGUUCCAGGAUGGCCCUCUGAACGUCGACAACCCUGGCUGGAAAAAGCUCUUCCGCGUUCAGCGGCUUGGUCUUGAGAAAGGCACAGGUGAGGCAUUUUACAGGCACAUCAGAGACUUUAUCGCCUGCUUAUCGGGCAGAUUGGGUGUAACGCACAGGCGCAUGAGCUAGUGAAAAAGCUGGCAACCCUAGGUGCGCUUUUUUGCUCCUUAGGGGAACAAGACCUGAAUAAUUCCUGCCCUUAUUUUCCUCAUUCAUCCCUGUUGUUUUCCUCUUGCAUCAUUAUGCCUAGAGACACUGAGGCACUUUAUAAAUAAUGAAAAAUAAGAAUAACCCAUGGGCCCACUGAGAGAGCGAGAGAGGCUUUAAGGCAGGCUGGUACAACUUCAGCCUUCCAGCUGUCGUUGGACUACAACUCCCAUCAUUCUGAGCCACCGUGGCCAAUUGUCAGGAUUCUGGGAGUUAUAGUUGGGCAUCUUGGAGAGGAGAGCUGGUCUUGUGGUGGCAAGCAUGACUUGUCCCCUUAGCUACGCAGGGUCCACCCUGGUUGUAUUUGAAUGGGAGACUGGAUGUGCGAGCACUGGAAGAGAUUCCUCUUAGGGGAUAAGGGGGCCACUCUGGGAAGAGCAUCUAGGUCCCAAGUUCCCUCCCUGGCAGCGUCUCCAAGAUCAGGCUGAGAGAGAGACUCCUGCCUGCAACCUUAGAGAAGCCGCUGCCAGUCUGUGAAGACAAUAUUGAGCUAGAUAGACCAAGGGACUGACUCAGUAUGUGGCAGUCUCCUAUGUUGCAAUGUACUUUUAAACCGCUUUCCCUGAAAGCUCUUGACAAGAAACACCAUCCACAGCGCUCUCCGAACCCUGGCUGGUACCUAACACUCCCAUUUUGGCCACGAAGACCAGUACGAUCCCCACGGGCAAGCCCACGCCAUAGUAACCGAUGGCGUUGAAAAUGGCACCAAGCUUCUGCUUCCCCGUCCCACGCAAGAUUCCGCUCGUUGUGCACUGUGGAAAGGAGAGGAAGGGGUUUGUUUUCAUUUGAUUGGUUUACUAUUCGAUUUAUAUGCCGCCUUUUAUAAAACCCAUCCCAAGGCUUAGGCGUUUAACCCACAACAAUUAUGUGAUGGGUUAAAAUACCAGCAAAGGAGCGAGAUUACCAAUUAAUUUAUGCUCUUAGCAUGAACAUAGAAGCCAUACGCCCUACUCAAAAACACGAUCGGAUUUUACUACAUUUUUACUUCUGCUAUUUCACAGCCCAAAGUCCCCCAGAAUUAAUUUUCUUAAGUACAGCCACCCCUGAGGUCUCUGACGUUAUGUCCAGGACUUAACUGGAUAUGUGGCGGACAGUUCAUUGAAAGUGUCAUCUCAGCUGUGAAAAAAGCUAAUUCCAUGCUAGGAAUCAUUAGGAGGGGGAUUGAAAAUAAAAAUGCUAAUAUUAGAAUGCCCUUAUACAAAUCUAUGGUGCGGCCACAUCCGGAGUACUGCGUACAGCUUUGGUCACCGUAUCUUAAGGAGGACAUUGUAGAACUGGGAAAGGUGCAGAAGAGGGCAGCCAAGAUGAUCAGGGGCCUGGAGCACCUUCCUUAUGAGGCAAGGCUACAGCAUCUGGAGCUCUUUAUUUUGGAAAAGAGGCAACUAAGGGGAGACAUGAACGAGGUGUAUAAAAUUAUGCAUGGAGUGGACAGGGUGGACAGAGAGAAAUUUCUCUCCUUCUCUCACAACACUAGAACCAGGGGUCACCCCAUGAAACUGAAGAUUGGGAAAUUUAGGACCGACAAGAGGAAGUCCUUUUUCACACAGCACACCAUUACUCUAAGGAACUCCUUGCCACGGGAUGUGGUGGUGGCCACUAGUUUGGAUGGCUUUAAAAGGGGCUUGGACAAAUUCAUGGAGGACAGGUCUACUAGUGGCUACAGGCCACCCCCAGCCUCAGAGGCACGAUGCCUCUCAAUCCCAGUUGCAGGGGAGCAACAGCAGCAGGAGAGAGGGCAUGCACAGACCUCUUGCCUGGGGGCUCCCCAGAGGCAUCUGGUGGGUCACGGUGUGAAACAGGAUGCUGGACUAGAUGGGCCUCCUUGGGCCUGAUCCAGCAGGGCUGUUCUUAUGACUAACAAGACAUCUCACACCUAUUUUUAGAAAUGGCUAGCUGGGGAACCGUCAGUCAGUAAGCAGUUUAUUGCUGUAACCCCAGGUCAGAACAGACUAGUUGGUGAAAACGUUUGUGGCAUUAUUCUACGUCUCAAGUUCAAAUACCAACUCCAUCGUCACACUCAUUUUGAAGCUGUGGGGCAGGAUGCAAAGUGUCUUGUACCAUGAGAGUGGACUGAAAUACCCCAAUGAGAGUGGCUCAAUAUAUUUCUUCCCCAAAGGGAAAAAAGACUGAAGCCUGCCCAGAAGCCCCACUCUUUGGCCCAGGAAUCCUUGCCCUCUGAUUUCCAUUAACUCGUCCCUGCCCAGACGAGCAGAAAGAGAGAAAAAGACCCACAAUGUCACUGGCAGAGAUACUCACACAGAGAGCUUCAAACAGAUGGAAGAUGAUGUAGAUAGGCAUCACCCAUGCCACAAGCUCAACCACUUCUCUGUUUGGGGAGAAACGGAGGCAGUUAUGCCCAAAGUGUGCCCAACGUCCUGGCAGGCUAAUCUCUCCUUGUAUAGGCAAAGUGUGCCGUCAGGUCGAUUCCGACUCCUGGCGCUCACAGAGCCCUGUGGUUUUCUUUUGGUAGAAUCCAGGAGGGGUUGACCAUUGCCUCCUCCCACAUAGGAUGAGAUGAUGCCUUUCAGCAUCUUCCUAUAUCGCUGCUGCCCAAUAUAGUACCAGCGGGGAUUUGAACCCGCAUCCUUCUGCUGGUCAGUCAAGCAUUUUCCCGCUGCGCCACUUAAGGUGACUAAUCUCUCCUUGUGCUGGACUCUAAACCUGUCCACAACCUACUCCCCACUCUGGCUGGAGCUCAGAAAGGUCUGUGCUUAAAAAGAGUCUGAAUUUAUUUCGAUUUCUGCCCAGUGUGCGUUGCCUGGUUUUUCACCCCUGCUGGCGCUUACAAAACAUUGUUACUGCUGUGCUUUUUAUUAUGAUUUCAUGACGUGCUUCUACCAUCCGACGUCCUCCUUGAAUUAAAUUGUGCUUUUCUGUG